rnacentral:lncRNA from 1 species
AUGAUACAAGCGUACAUAAUGUGUCGUAACCUCCUUGGUGUUUGCGAACGUGCUGGAAUAGAAAUGAUGUGCCAUUUUUUUUGUAGAACACCAAAAGCCCGUUCAAUAUCUUUUCUUGCGCCCUCUUGAAACUUUGCAAACUUUUUCCUUUUGUCGUCGGUCGGGUGCGGGACAGUUUUAACAAUUGUCGAGUACGUUGGGUAUAUCCCAUCGGCUAGGUAGUAACCUCGCCUGUACUCCACCCCUGAAACCGUAAAGCUUGUGUCUGGACCUGUACCCGCCACUACAUCAUCAAAAAUCUGUGACUGGUAUAUGAUACAUCCUAAUGUACUCGUCUAAUGCAUCUGGUGCGUAACCGUACGCAAGUUGGCGAAUGGCUGACGUACAUUUUUGUAAAUUACUGAAACCCCUU